UCAAUUGAGAAGAGGAACCAACUUCCUCUCCUGCGACUGGUUUCUCAUCUCCCUCCAAGUCUGAUUAAUCUCUGUCACUCAUCUCCCUCUAAGUCUGAUCAAUCUCUCCUACUCUAUAUCUAGUCUUGUAUGGAUUAUGUGAAAGGGUCCGUUAAUUAGGUUUUUCCGGAAAAAUUAGAAGAUUUACUUCGGGAUCUAAUAUUUCUAGGGUUUAUGAUGUGCAUAGAAUUAAUUUCGUUUUGGCCCUAAAUUGGUGUCUAAUUUCACUAGGGUUCUUAGCAUCAGCAACAUAUACGACCUCAGAUGCUGCAUUUUAUAUUAAUCAGGACCGAAUGUUUGCUCAUGAAUCCAUUGCGAAAUAGGUUAUUAACUCAAAAUGUUGGUUUCCUUUCUUAUAUCAUUUUGAGCCAACCAGGUCAUAUGACAGAAUCGUAGUUCUUAUGGUGGGAAUUGAAUUCAGCCCAUCCAUUUGCAAAUUUAGAAGAAACAUAUUACAUUCCAUGGAGGGGCACUUUUUCGCAUAAUCUUUCAAUGCUGCUGCAGUGAUUCUCCUUAUAAAAACGAGUUGAUAAAACAAACACGGGACAUGGCUCGGAAGAAAAGAUUCCAAAGUCUAUGCGUUGCCUUUUACUAUGGUGAGGACUAUUAUGUAGGAGAAGGCCUCAGCGUAAAAGAAGCAUUUCAAGUCAUAGCAAAGAAUACCCUGAAGAGUGAGGAAGAUGAAGAGAUGUACUUGCCUCACUAUUGAUGUUUUCCUCGGAAUGCGAGUGUUAAAGAACUUGUUCGCCCUCUGAUUAUUUGUUGAGAAGACCUCCAUUAGCCCUCUGCUGCACCACAUAUAUCCUAAACCAUAUGCGGAGGUAUAAUUGCUCUGCUUUGCUAAGCUGGAAAAGAAAACAAGGUAAGGAUAUAGUCAUGUGUCUAAGUAUACUCACUGAUAGGCCAGUUGAUUAUUAAGUUAUAUUGGUAGUAGACUACUAUAAGCUAUCUUCGUAUGUUGGUGGUGAUUGGGUAGUGUAGCAUAAGAAGCAUUUGCAAUUUACAAAUUAAACUUUGUGUACCUUGUUACAUAUAAGUACUAUUAGGUAGGGUAGAGUUAAUGUUUUAAUUUAUAAUAAUUUUUAGUUUGAUUGUUUAGUGUUUUAAAGUGUAUUGAGAUAUUAGUUGAUGUUGAAAAGGAUUUUUUUUAUUAAUUUAAUUUCUAUGAAA